UACGUAGGGUGCAAGCGUUGUCCGGAAUUAUUGGGCGUAAAGAGCUCGUAGGCGGUUCGUCGCGUCGGCUGUGAAAACCCGGAGCUCAACUCCGGGCCUGCAGUCGAUACGGGCGGACUCGAGUUCGGCAGGGGAGACUGGAAUUCCUGGUGUAGCGGUGAAAUGCGCAGAUAUCAGGAGGAACACCGGUGGCGAAGGCGGGUCUCUGGGCCGAUACUGACGCUGAGGAGCGAAAGCGUGGGGAGCGGACAGG
rnacentral:rRNA from 1 species